rnacentral:ncRNA from 1 species
AGGGAAAGGUGAAAAGCACCCCGGAAGGGGAGUGAAAGAGAACCUGAAACCGUGUGCCUACAAGUAGUUAGAGCCCUAUGCUUUAUGCAGGGUGAUAGCGUGCCUUUUGUAGAAUGAACCGGCGAGUUACGAUUUCAUGCAAGGUUAAGCUGAAGAGGCGGAGCCGGCCACCGCCUGUGCCGGACUUUCGCAAUUGGCGAGCGCUGUCUGCGUGGCCGGACUGACCGACCCCGGCAACAGCUUCGGUGCCAGCGCGCGGGCAUCGAUAUUGCCGGCCCGCGCGGCGAAACGCUCGGCGGCCUCGACCCGGCGCAACACCGCAUCGGGCCCGGCCCAGCUUCCCGCAAUGUCAUCAAAGCCGAUCGGCUGUCCCGGCUUCCACGUCGGCUGGCCAAGCUGGUUGAGCAACCCGACGAUGACCUGGGGGUCCGCGACCUUGACGUUCAACGCGCGCAUCGAGGAAAUCGUCCAUUCCCACGGCGUCUUGAACUUCACCGGCUGUUCAACCCACGCCUCGGGUGAAGCGAUCA